rnacentral:rRNA from 1 species
GACGAACGCUGGCGGCAGGCUUAACACAUGCAAGUCGAACGAGUGGCGGACGGGUGAGUAAUGCUUGGGACUCUGGCUUAUGGCUGGGGAUAACUACGGGAAACUGUAGCUAAUACCGCGUACCAUAGGCUGAUCCCAAGUGGUAUUAGGUAGUUGGUGAGUUAAAGGCUCACCAAGCCGACGAUCGCUAGCUGGUCUGAGAGGAUGACCAGCCACACUGGGACUGAGACACGGCCCAGACUCCUACGGGAGGCAGCAGUGGGGAAUAUUGCGCAAUGGGGGAAACCUGACGCAGCCAUGCCGCGUGAAUGAAGAAGGCCUUCGGGUUGUAAAGUUCUUUCGGUAGCGAGGCGUUAACUACAGAAGAAGCACCGGCUAACUCCGUGCCAGCAGCCGCGGUAAUAC